rnacentral:tRNA from 1 species
GUACCCAUAGCUCAACUGGAUAGAGCGCCAGACUACGGAUCUGGAGGUUGGGGGUUCGACCCCUCCUGGGUACGCCA